rnacentral:rRNA from 1 species
UGGGGAAUAUUGGGCAAUGGGCGCAAGCCUGACCCAGCCACGCCGCGUGAGUGAUGAAGGCCUUCGGGUCGUAAAGCUCUGUGGGGAAGGACGAAAAAACAUUGGCUAAUAUCCAAUGGCUUGACGGUACUUCCUUAGCAAGCACCGGCUAACUUCGUGCCAGCAGCCGCGGUAAUACGAAGGGAGCUAGCGUUGUUCGGAAUCACUGGGCGUAAAGCGCACGUAGGUGGGCAGUUAAGUCAGGGGUGAAAGCCCGAGGCUCAACCUCGGAAUUGCCUCUGAUACUGGCUGUCUAGAGUUCGAGAGAGGUGAGUGGAAUUCCUAGUGUAGAGGUGAAAUUCGUAGAUAUCGGGAGGAACACCUGUGGCGAAGGCGGCCACCUGGUUGGAUACUGACGCUGAGACGCGAAAGCGUGGGGAGCAAACAGGAUUAGAUACCCAAGUAGUCCCUGAGCGGGCUGGCAAGGCGCAU